AUGUUCGCAAACGAGCGUUGCGUAUGACUGGGCGGGUGAUUGCUUCGUUUUGCUGGUAGUUUCUUAUGGAAGAAUUAGAUUCGCGGGAGUCCGGGGAAUCGUUACGGUAGUAGGAACGGAAGCUGUGGCAACGGCUGGAACAAAAAAGUUCGCUGCUACAGGGCACUGCACCCGUGUUCGUGACUCGGGUCCACGUUGCGUGCAGGGGGCGGCUGUGCUGACGCUUUGCUAGAGCGUGCGCACUUUCGGCAUAUCGAUUCUGCUCCGACGCUAGUGAGGCACACGUAAAGAUGACUAGAAUCUAGGUAACGAGUCGCCCCAGGAAAUGUUUGUAUCAGGAAAACAUGCGCUGGUUUCUCUGGCACUGGACUUGCAGUGGACCGCUCUUUUCUCGAAGAUAUGUGCGGGAGGCGCAAGUGCUCGCGCUUCGGGACCUGCAUCCAACAAGUGCUCGGUUUUGCGAAACCAUGACACAGAGCCGACUCUUGGCCGUUUAUCGAACUCGAGCGAGAGUAGGUCGCAUAUCCGAGUGCUAGGCCCGGGAGGCGGCGCUACCACCUGUGAUGUAAUGAGCGCAGUGAAUGCUGGUACAUGCGUACCAGCACGCCGUUUCUGUUUUAAUUUGUUUUUCUGGUAGGUAUUUAACAAAAGGAUUGCAUCCCUGAGGCUUGAGAGAGGACGCGGAAAGACCGUGCUGUCAAUGAAAGCUAGCGAGAAGAGGUCUUUGGUGUGCAAGAAAGCCAUUCUACGAUCAACGGAUGGAUGAAACACGCUUCUCGUAGAAAGUCGUGGACCCAAAGCAGCACUUAUCAAGCUCUAUCCACACGAUUUUCGCCUCGUCCAUGCAUUCCAAACCAUAUGCAUACUCUGAGAAUUACUAUCUGAUAAGCUACAGGAUGUAGAGUUUGCGAAUCGUUGAUCCGUACAGUGAUAAAUGACACAGAUUGACGAAGCAAAAAGCACGCUCCUUUGGGAGACCAUUACGCAUUGACCAACACCAUAUCGAUUUCGUACUGAAACACGACCGCGUUGUACAGGAGGGACGUAUGCUUGUCUCACUCAACAAGACUCAUUCACGGGAAGCUGCUGACCUGUUUAUGGGUUCACAAAGCGGGGUAAUCCGCUUUUCGUUAAGAAGCGACAACCGGGCACGGCGACAGCACCAGCGAUAGCUGCGAUGCUAUCGUUUCGUUACCUACGAAUCGCCAAACGGAAGGGAAUGCUCGAAACCGCAUCCUUCGUCGACGUACGCUUUGUGGAUUCUCCAUCCCGCAUGCUUCGGUGCUGCUGUUAGACAACAUCGAUGUCCAUGAAUCAAAAGCGGUCAAGAAGCAUCCGGUGGAGACUGGCUUUGACCAACGCUUCAUGCCAGCCUAGCCUCCCCGCUUCAACCCGUUCGAAAGCGUCUUUUAUGUUUUUUCGAGCGCUAUGUUUCAAUUCAUGGAUCAUUAGACGAGUUGUUCGGAUCCGUGACACCUCACUUCGACAAUGCGUUCUCGAGCAUCUUCACCGGCCCUGGCUGCUCUGCUGCUUCUGUGCUCGUGUACAGGAGCGAGCGGGACGGUGCCCUUCAGUCCGCGGGCUUGCUUGCGACGGAGAAGGUGAUGAGGAGGUACUUGAGAACUUUUGGAAAUGGAAUUAGAAAAGACGAGUCUCAGUCCUAUCGUGGACCCAGCGCAUAUGUGAGUCACGAGGGAAAGAACGGAUGUAGAGCAUAGGGGCUUUACAAUCCCGCCAAGUAAUAGAGACAGAGAAGACAUCACCAGCCAUAGAAGAGAAAGAUUAUUCCGAAGAGAGGGCGAAAAGGCACAAGACCGGAAAACCAUAGGACCAAGAAGCUCACUGUGAUAACAAUUUUAUUGCCUCCAAAUUCAAACAUACCAAUACGGCGUUGAGAAUCUUUCGAAUGGAGCAUUGCAGAGCCCUUUUUGAGGUCGAGUAGCUUCUCACUCGAGAAAGGUCCGCCUUGCUUCCCUUGUCUAGACGCGCCUGGUCAAGCCAAACUUCGUACAAGGUCGCGAAGCCGGUCUGGAAGCUCACCACAUUCGCUUGGAAGUUUGAUCUAGCUGUCGUGGAACAACACAACGAUUCCCCAGGAUAUUAGAUGCGAAACGGUUCGAUCUCAGAAUCAAACAGUUGCUAAUGCGUUUCGGAUGAAAGGUUGACUCGCAGGCUUGUCAUGUUUUCUAGCGGAACGUCCAGAGGACAGGUGACAAAGUGCAUCUAACGAACCUGAAAAUCCAUCAACGGGUCCAUCUCGAGCGCUUCGUGAAAUGCAACCUAUGGGCUUGAUACCAUCACCUAGCUGACCCAGAGGAGCAGGGACUGAUGUAAGGGAUUCUUGGUCUUUCGCUAUAUGCAAAUGACGAACUGGUGACGGAAGCGCUAAGGGUGGUAGCGAGUUCAGGAGAGGUGUCGCUACGAGAACGAGGUUCGCUUCAGAUCGUUCACGCUGGUCGUGCUGCACACGGUUGCGGACGGCGGGAUGUCGUAUCCAGAAGGCGCUGGGUACGUCAUCGCUACCUUCGUUGCAUCUUUCGCUUCUGGAUUUUCCUGAACAGAGCCCUCGACAGCAAACCAGACUGCCAUCCCGGAUCCGAGCACUCAAUCCUCCUCAAGGUUUCCGUUCGAUCGGGGAACCGUAUCCAACUCCGUGUUCCUGUACAUGUGCCCGUAGAUACUUCUGGACUGGACUGCGUUGCAUGCCGACCUCAGUCCGUUACGUCUGGUCUCCGCGAGCAGGCAUGCAGCAUUCGAAGAACUUCAUGAGGAACAUUGUGACGGAGUUCGUUCAAGGUUUCACGUUCACAGGGAGGAAAUGAAAACGAGUGUACUGGGGCAAUGGAGGUCGACCACACAUCGCUCUGCAUGCAUUUGGUGAAAACCGAGGUCCCAUUCGGGCAACGAUUCUUAUGUUCAUCCGCUCGACGUAGAUGAAGAGAAAGACUUGGCAACGGACUUGGAUCCUGGAUUGAAGACCUCCAAGGGCGUCUCCGUACUGCUAAAUUUAAAGGACGGACGGACCCGAUGCCAAAAACGAAAAGCAGAUGCUGCUGCUCAUCGUCUCCGGGGCUCGACAUCAUCUGCAGUCGGGAAUCCUGAAUGCUAGGCGACAUGCCAGGAAGAGGAAUCACGGCGUGAGCAGCCGAGUCUCGACACUCUGAGAACCGUAUCGAGCCGCCAGCGAGACUCUGUACGCUUCAUUUAGAUAAAACG